rnacentral:misc_RNA from 1 species
UUUCGAGUAGACGUCCGUGCACUCACUGCCAAACCCAAAGGUUUGAGGGUGGAUGACGCUCAAACAGGCAUGCCUUGUGGAAUACCACAAGGCGCAAUGUGCGUUCAAAAAUUCGAUGAUUCACAAAGUCUGCAAUUCAUAUUACUUAUCGCAUUUCGCUGCGUUCUUCAUCGAUGCGAGAACCAAGAGAUCCGUUGUUGAAAGUUUUAAUUAUUUUUUGGUGUUGACAAAUUAUA